AUCACAGACGACAUUUUCCCGACGAAAUCUUAGCCGACGAAUUAAGCUAACAGGCCGACGAAAAUUUUUCGUCGGCUAAAGUGCUUGUCCUGGUAGUGUCUCUUUCUUCCAUGAACAAAAAUGUUUCUCUUCUCAAUCUUGCAAGUAAUCUAUUCUACAUAUUAUUCUAUUGUGUAAUUUUGAUUUGAUUAGAAUUUUGUUUUGCCUUCACCUGACAACUUUGAACGUGAGAACAUUAUUCUUAAUCCGGUUAAACAAUUUGGUGAUAAAUUGCGCCUAAACACAUUAGAAAUAGAAAAAGUGGUUAUGAGAAUUUGACCCUACGUGGAUUGAAUACUAUGAGAAUCACAUCCUAAGGUUUAAUUCAAUUUAACAAUGUUGGAUUUGAAAUUCGAAGGUCAAACUUCACCUGGUUACUGCACUUCAGAUCUAGGUAACACCAUAUUUGGAAUUUGGUGAAUAAGUAUCGCUCACAAAGACGUAAGGAAUUGGUUACUAAAAAUUAGAUUUAGGUCCCUAUCAUCUACGAGGAAUUGAAGAACACAGAUUUAGCUACCGAUAUGAAUGCAUACGAUAACAAAGACGUAGAUAAGGCCAUAGUAAACAGUUCCGUUAGGUAUUUUGCUUUACUUCUCUU
rnacentral:lncRNA from 1 species